rnacentral:rRNA from 1 species
CGCAUCUGUGCAUGCAGCAUAUCAAUAAGCGGAGGAAAAGAAACUAACAAGGAUUCCCUUAGUAAUGGCGAGUGAAGCGGGAAGAGCUCAAAUUUGAAAUCUUCAAGGUUUUACCUUGACGAAUUGUAGUUUAAAGAAGUGUUUUCUGUUGAAGUUUUGGUAAAAGUUCUUUGGAAUAGGACAUCAUAGAGGGUGAGAAUCCCGUAUUUGACCAUUAUUUUCAGCUGUGUGAUACACUUUCAAAGAGUCGGAUUGUUUGGGAAUGCAGUCCAAAAUGGGUGGUAAAUUUCAUCUAAAGCUAAAUAUUGGCGAGAGACCGAUAGCGAACAAGUACCGUGAGGGAAAGAUGAAAAGAACUUUGAAAAGAGAGUUAAACAGUACGUGAAAUUGUCAAAAGGGAAGCGUUUGACACCAGUGUUGUUUUCUCGAAAAUCAAUUAAAAAGAGUUAGAUUUUGUUGUGUAUUGACCUUAACAGCUUGCAUUUCAAUUUUCUUGCUUUUUUUAAUGCACUUUUCGUUUAACAAGUCAACAUCAGUUUCUUUUGUUGUAAAAAGGUCAUUGGAAGGUGGCUUUCUUUUCGGAGAAAGUGUUUAUAGCCUUUGACUCCUGCAAUCGGAGAGACUGAGGUCUGCAGCGUAGAUCCUUCGGGGUUAGAUACAUUUGUGCUAAGUUAUAGCUUUUUAUAGACAACUUGUUGACUAUGAUUAGUCUUGUAGCUUACUCGCUUAUGCUAUUUUACCUACGCUUAGGAUGUUGACGCGCGUGUGUGCGUG